rnacentral:lncRNA from 1 species
AUGCAGAAUGAAGCAGGGCAAAGACUAAUAGAGUUUUGCCAAGAAAAUGCACUGGUCAUAGUAAACAUCCUCUUCCAACAACACAAGAGAAGACUCUACACAUGGAUAUCAUCAGAUGGUCAACACCAAAAUCAGAUUGAUUAUAUUCUUUGCAGCCAAAGAUGGAGAAACUCUAUACAGUCGACAAAAACAAGACCAGGAGCUGACUGUGGCUCAGAUCAUGAACUCCUUAUUGCCAAACUCAGACUCAAAUUGAAGAAAAUAGGGGAAACCGCUAGACCAUUCAGGUAUGACCUAAAUCAAAUCCCUUAUGAUUAUACAGUGGAAGUGAGAAAUAGAUUUAAGGGUCUAGAUCUGAUAGAUAGAGUGCCUGAUGAACUAUGGAAUGAGGUUCGUGACACUGUACAGGAGACAGGGAUCAAGACCAUCCCCAUGGAAAAGAAAUGCAAAAAAGCAAAAUGGUUGUCUGGGGAGGCCUUACAAAUAGCUGUGGAAACAAGAGAGGUGAAAAGCAAAGGAGAAAAGGAAAGAUAUAAGCAUCUGAAUGCAGAGUUCCAAAGAAUAGCAAGAAGAGAUAAGAAAGCCUUCUUCAGCGAUCAAUGCAAAGAAAUAGAGGAAAACAACAGAUUCGGAAAGACUAGAGAUCUCUUCAAGAAAAUUAGGGAUACCAAGGGAACAUUUCAUGCAAAGAUGGGCUCGAUAAAGGACAGAAAUGGUAUGGACCUAACAGAAGCAGAAGAUAUUAAGAAGAGGUGGCAAGAAUAUGCAGAAGAACUGUACAAAAGAGAUCUUCACGACCCAGAUAAUCAUGAUGAUGUGAUCACUAAUCUAGAGCCAGACAUCUUGGAAUGUGAAGUCAAGUGGGCCUUAGAAAGCAUUACUACAAACAAAGCUAGUGGAGGUGAUAGAAUUCCAGUUGAGCUGUUUCAAAUCCUGAGAGAUGAUGCUGUGAAAGUGCUGCACUUAAUAUGCCAACAAAUUUGGAAAACUCAGCAAUGGCCACAGGACUGGAAAAGGUCCGUUUUCAUUCCAAUUCCAAAGAAAGGCAAUGCCAAAGAAUGCUCAAAUUACCGCACAGUUGCACUCAUCUCACAUGCUAGUAAAGUAAUGCUCAAAAUUCGCCAAGCCAGGCUUCAGCAAUACGUGAACCGUGAACUUCCAGAUGUUCAAGCUGGUUUUAGAAAAGGCAAAGGAACCAGAGAUCAAAUUGCCAACAUCCGCUGGAUCAUGGAAAAAGCAAGAGAGUUCCAGAAAAACAUCUAUUUCUGCUUUAUUGACUAUGCCAAAGCCUUUGACUAUGUGGAUCACAAGAAACUGUGGAAAAUUCUGAAAGAGAUGGGAAUACCAGACCACCUGACCUGCCCCUUGAGAAAUCUGUAUGCAGGUCAGGAAGCAACAGUUAGAACUGGACACGGAACAACAGACUAUUUCCAAAUAGGAAAAGGAGUACGUCAAGGCUGUAUAUUGUCAUCCUGCUUAUUUAACUUCUAUGCAGAGUACAUCAUGAGAAACGCUGGACUGGAAGAAGCACAAGCUGGAAUCAAGAUUGCCAGAAGAAAUAUCAAUAACCUCAGAUAUGCAGACACCACCCUUAUGGCAGAAAGUGAAGAGGAGCUAAAAAGCCUCUUGAUGAAAGUGAAAGAGGAGAGCGAAAAAGUUGGCUUAAAGCUCAACAUUCAGAAAAUGAAGAUCAUGGCAUCCGGUCCCAUCACUCCAUGGGAAAUAGAUGGGGAAACAGUGGAAACAGUGGCAGACUUUAUUUGGGGGGGGGGCUCCAAAAUCUCUGCAGAUGGUGAAUGCAGCCAUGAAAUUAAAAGACCCUUACUCCUUGGAAGAAAAGUUAUGACCAACCUAGAUAGUAUAUUCAAAAGCAGAGACAUUACUUUGCCGACUAAGGUCCGUCUAGUCAAGGCUAUGGUUUUUCCAGUGGUCAUGUAUGGAUGUGAGAGUUGGACUGUGAAGAAGGCUGAGUGCCGAAGAAUUGAUGCUUUUGAACUGCGGUGUUGGAGAAGACUCAUGAGAGUCCCUUGGACUGCAAGGAGAUCCAACUAG